rnacentral:lncRNA from 1 species
GUGGCGGCGCGCGAUCCAGUGGAUGAUAGGAUUAUUGACUCUCAAGCUCCAAGCCAUGAUUGCCAUCCGAUCCGAUCCGCCGUUAGCUCAAGGACAGACGGCCCCGCAAGAAUCUCAAUUAAGCUUUUCAUUUUUUGCUCUGCCUCGCUUCUUCUUUUCGUUUUGGGGAAGCAGGGCAAAAGAUGGUGCCGUGAUCUCUUCUUCUAUGAUGUUUCUACGACAAACAACCUCCUUGACACUCAAUAUUAC